UGGCAGGUCAGCAUACUGCCGUGAAUACGUUCCCGGGCCUUGUACACACCGCCCGUCACACCAUGAGAGUUGGGAAUACCCGGAGCCUGUGAGCCAACAAACGAGGCAGCAGUCGAAGGUAGAAUCAAUGAUUGGGGUGAAGUCGUAACAAGGUACC
rnacentral:rRNA from 1 species